GAUCAUGGCUCAGGAUGAACGCUAGCUACAGGCUUAACACAUGCAAGUCGAGGGGCAGCAUGGUCUUAGCUUGCUAAGGCCGAUGGCGACCGGCGCACGGGUGAGUAACACGUAUCCAACCUGCCGUCUACUCUUGGACAGCCUUCUGAAAGGAAGAUUAAUACAAGAUGGCAUCAUGAGUCCGCAUGUUCACAUGAUUAAAGGUAUUCCGGUAGACGAGUGGGGA
rnacentral:rRNA from 1 species